rnacentral:lncRNA from 1 species
GUAAUUUGUUGCUACUUGUUUAGUGAAUUUCUUUUGGAGGUUCCCACGUACCUGUUAAUUCUUAAUACCAUUUCUUGUAGAAGAACAUACUAUAAAAGAGCUGAUAUUUUUUGGGAUAGGGAAGUUAUUGGAUGACUUAGGAGGUUCACAGAAAUAUUUCAGUUUAAACAAAACAAAUUUUUUGGCACUAGAUGUUAGAUCUGAAAUGAUGAGGCAUUGUUUAUUAUUGAUGCUGUCUGGUUCUCUUUCCCUUUUGGAUAUGGAUGAAUGCUGACACUUGGUGCAAAUUCCCUGUGAUUUACGGAAUCCCGUAUUUACAAAGUGGUUUUCCUUACCAUGAUUUCUCUAGAAUUUUGAUG